AAAUUGAAGAGUUUGAUCAUGGCUCAGAUUGAACGCUGGCGGCAGGCCUAACACAUGCAAGUCGAACGGUAACAGGAAGCAGCUUGCUGCUUCGCUGACGAGUGGCGGACGGGUGAGUAAUGUCUGGGAAACUGCCUGAUGGAGGGGGAUAACUACUGGAAACGGUGGCUAAUACCGCAUAACGUCGCAAGAC
rnacentral:rRNA from 6 species